GGAACCCUGGGAAGGCGUCAGGCCUGGUUAGGUGCUGGUUGCGACGGAGCCUAGGGCCAGGAGGCAACUUCGGGGAUCUGGGACCAUGGAGAACCCUUCCACAUAAAGAAGACCUACUUCUUGGAUUUGAGGUCUUGAAGUUAAUAAUGAUCUGAUUCAUUCAGAGAUGAAGAAGAUGACGUUAACAACCAAGAGUGUCUGGAUGCUCUGGUCUUUGAACGAUCAACUCUUUUGAUUACUACAGAAGAGUGGUGAACUAGACAGCCUGGCUUUGCCUCUUACUGCCUUGGGUGAUCUUGGGUAAAAUAUUUAACCGCUAACUCAGUUUCAUCUGCUGUAAAGUGGGGAUAAUAAUCAUUUCUAUCUUAUAAGUUGCCUUUGAGGUUUCAUUGAUUUAAUACAGUAUAGGCAAUAUAUUUAAAUAUAUGUAAACUGAUUAGAGCAGCAGCUGGGGUAUAUAUAGUAGGGGCUCUGGGGGUGUCAGCUGUUAUCACGACUAAAUUACCCGUCUUCUUUUUUUUUUUUUUUUUUUUUGAGACAGAGUCU